UCUACAACCUGUCGAACGGACAGACAUUUUACUCAUUACAUUACUCAUGGUCAAACUUCACGUAUGUACACGUCACAGUUUUAUAGGGAAGACCCUCCACCUCCCAAAGGUAUCGACAUGUAUGUGGGAAAAUUACCACGUGAUCUUUUCGAAGAUGAAUUGAAUCGAAUCUUCUCUACAAUCGGAACUUCAAGGUGAAACGGAAAGGUUAUCCUAAUGCGUAACCAAAGUCAUCGUUUUCAGUUACAUCAGAGAUAAAACUGAAAAUCGCGGUUUUGCAUUUGUCGAGUACGUUAAUCAUCGUGCAGCUUCCAAGAUUCGUAGAAAGUUGAUACCUAACCGCAUUUUAUUGUGGGGAACAGAGAUAGCUGUCGACUGGAUCGAGUAGGGAAAUGAAAUCGAUGAAGACGUCAUGUCGCAGGUUACGUUCUUGUACGUCUGCAACUUGUCGCUGACAACUACAGAACAAGUUCUUCGUGAAAAUUUAACUACACCUUUAAUGACAGUAUGUAGAAGCUUCAAAUGAUGCGUGAUUUUGCAUUUAUCCAUUUUCUAUCUCGAGAAAAGGCUUAUAAAGCCAUGCGCAUCAUAACUAAAAAUUUUGUUUCGUUCAAGAUUCGCCAUCUUUUAUGCCGAACUAUUACAAUAGUAGUCAACAUUCGAGUACAACGACGCGUGCACGAUUGUCCCACGUCUUCCGACAGGUAGUUGAUCUGGCUUGGCUUAACCUGUUUAUCUUUUAUAUUGCUUUUUUGGCUUUUAUAUGUAUUUAGCGCAUAUUUGUUAGUAGAGGUGUGAGUAAAGAGAGUUAGUAAUUUUGUUAACAUAUUAAGCCAGAUAUGGGGGCACAUCAGGUAUAAACUUUCUUCGAUUGUCGAUCAUAUUAGCCUACAUAGCGUAAUAGGAUAAUAGAAUCCUACACUCCCAUGAUUUUUUUUAUGCGGUUCGAUAAGUAGCUCAUCGAACGGCAGGUUCAAAAUUUUUUGGUUGUAUUGAACGAGUAAAAUGUAUUGACUUCUGGAGAACAAUGGACGGGGCUUUCCAUUUUCCGUCUAAUUGGAGCCGCCCAUCUCGACUCACGCGCCAUGAGUGGGAUUCAACAAGUCCGCUACGAAUUUCCAAGGGUUUCGCUCUUUUGGACCGCGGCAAGCGGUGCUCUUCGAUCGGUAAUAAUUUACUUUUAGUUGAUUUUAGGAAAAAGACGAAAGCUUUUGACGAGGCUAAAUAAAAAUUUUUAUGGGUCCUGCGAAGCCUCUCGACAUUUCACGCUCCACUACGCCGUCGGUGACUGACUCAGUACCCAGGAGAUCGGGUGUCGGCCAUCGUGUUUUCACUGACGCCGACGAAAGGGAAGUAACGGAAGUUUGACGCUUUUUGUUGAUACGACGUCUACGUUUAUGAAAACAUGUCUGGACUACUACGGACACCAAUUCGAAUUAAUUAAGCAACCUGUGCCUGGAAUCUUGAUUGGGAUUUGGCCAUCAAUCAACUUUCGCAAUAUUUCGGCAUCGACCUUAUUCUCAAGUAUGCGGCGGGCCGGCGGCCACUUUUUCUUUUGGCGCUUCUUUUCUUUCUUUUCAUAGAUGGAUGGCAUUGCACUACAAGCAUUGUUUUGUCUGUUGUUGCUUGACAUGCACGUUGACCGCGACCCGCAAUAGCCGGUCACGCCUGUCAAAUACGCCCGCCUGCAUGUAAUCCGAGAUCCCCAAACAACUUUCUAUCGAAAAGUACGACAACAAAACUUUCGGAGCACGAGAACAAAGGCUAUGUUCACCAGCAGUCCGACCAUGAUUUUUGUCGAAGACUAUCUGUGCAAUUUUAUCUAGAACACCUGGAGUUUCCAGAGCAAGGAUCAUAACAAACUCAUCAUGUUUUUUUUGUUUUUUUUUUCUUUCAAUCUGGCAAUUUGAUUUGACACUCUUACUUCCGGUGGAGUUCCGGUGCAAAAUUAAACGUGAUUAUAGAUUGGAAAUUUGUAACACUAGAUGGCGAAUGGUAUAUUGUUGUCGUUUUAAUGGUAUAGAUUGGAAAUUUGUAACACUAGAUGGCGAAUGGUAUAUUGUUGUCGUUUUAAUGGCGCUCAUGGCGAACAACAAAUGUCGAAAGUUAUGUUUACUUUUUGUUAAGUUCUUAGUUUAUACGGACCAAAUUUAAAAUUAUGUGUAAGUAAAUCUGUAACUGUUUUUAGUCUAACCGGCAAAGUUUAUGGCUUACAUUUAUCUCUUAGUCUACUUUUCCUAUUUCUAGUCUACCUUUUUCCUGUUGUCCCAUCAAGGUAAAUUAUCAACUAAAAAAUCGUCGACAUUCAGCUUCAUGCCGAUGACGGAUAGAGCAAAGAAAUGGACAGCUUUAUGACUUGGUGCAGACAUCUCACAUAGGACCAACUUUCUGACAUAAUGACUCUCCUGUCAUUUGGGGAUCCAGCCAAGAACACCAUAACUCUUCAGCCAAAUAUUCCGAGUACAUCAAAUGAGAUCCCUGUCGACUCACCAUUUCAUAUCGGACGCCACUCCGCUCCCGUCAAUCUGGAAACAACAUUCUGACGAGGAUUCGGUCGUAUGAUGUCGGUCGUUUUGACGUCGUCUACUGCGAGGAGAGGCUGCUCGAUGUUAUCCACUUAGUGAGCCGAAACGGCAGAUCCAUCGUUUUCACUGCCGUUUUGACUCUCAUCCCAGUCUACAUGUUUUCCAUAAUCGGGUAUCACGUUCAGUUUCACGCCAAAUUGUUAUUAUAUCUUCAACAUGGUGGCUUACAUUAAUUACAAUUUUCCUACUCUUCGUUUCGUUAGUAUGUGUGCAAUUGGUGGAUUUUCCAUUCCUUGUGCUUUCAACUCUCGACAAAGCAUCCACCGAUAACAACGCUAGGUCAGACCAUUUCUAUAGAAACUUGUGCUGGACUCGGCAAGUUUAGUUCACCAGUCUUCUGUCUUCUUUGGGCCCAGGUGUGGCAGCAGAGAGUUGAAGACAAAAAAUGAUUGUCAUUUUCUUCAAAGCGCAGUUGCUUUGUGAAAAGUUACUGCACUCUGUUUGUUUGUUGGUUAUGACUUAUGAUAACUUUUUUAUAGUUAUAGUUAAUUCUUGAUUCUUAAUCAUAGGUUAAUCUUGUCUUGUCUUUUAGAACACAGCACAUGGUCACAUGUAGCUAUUAAUCAAAGGCACUUGCUACCAGAAUUCUCCAUGAACGGUAAUUCUUUAAUAACAUUGGUCUUCAAUCUUCAGUAAGGGGUUAUUAGUUUUACAGUAAUUAAGGUUUCUUAAAUUAGUCAAUCUCUAAAACAGAUUCCAUUAAUUGUUUGGAAUGUUAAAUUACUUUACUGUUAUUGAUCCAGUAGGCUAAAUCCAGUAAAAUUAUAAUUUCACACAAGUUUUACAAAAUGUUCUAAAGGAUUUGUCAUUCAGGUUAAGUUGAACCUGUUUGCUGUUGCCGUCUUAUGCAGAACAUUUUUAUUUGCCACCUUGCUGCUUGCAAACUGCAUAAAUUGGGAAGCUGCAUAUUUUGCACAUUUACAACAACUUGUUUAUUGUCUUUGCUUUAUAUCUGAUUUGUAUAAUAGGCUUUCCCACUGUUUGUUUGAGCCUUUGAGGUAUGAAUGAAAUUUCCUGUGGUGUUGCAGUGCAAUGUGCUGAUGCCUGCCUGUUCCCAGGUUUAAGGAGAACUUAAACAAAAUC
rnacentral:lncRNA from 1 species